ACGUUAUCGUAACUUAGUGGCGGACGGGUGAGUAACGCGUGGGUAACCUACCCUUUUCAUGGGGACAACAGCUGGAAACGGCUGCUAAUACCGAGUAAGCUCCAAUGACCGCAUGGUAAUUGGAGGAAAGAUGGCCUCUGCACAUGCUAUCGGGAAAAGAUGGACCCGCGUCUGAUUAGAUAGUUGGUGAGGUAACGGCUCACCAAGUCGACGAUCAGUAGCCGGCCUGAGAGGGUGGCCGGCCACAUUGGGACUGAGACACGGCCCAGACUCC
rnacentral:rRNA from 1 species